GUUGGGAUAGCUCAGUUGGUAGAGCAUGAGCCUCUUAAUCCCAGGGUUGUGGGUUUGAGCCCCAUGUUUGACA